GUGACAAUGUCCUGGGUUACAGUGUAACAUUUCUUAAUAUGGAUUACAGUGUUUAAAAGUUGGUAAAUCACUGCUUUAGAAGACGUAAUCAACCAGGUUUUUCACCUACCUUUUUAUUUGGCAAGAGGUGGGGGAGGCAGAAGUCAUCAGGAUUAAUGAUUAAGUUUAGUAAGACUACAGAGAGCAAACCUUUGCAGCUCCAGCAGGCUUAAUCCAAACAGCCCUGUGUUUCUCUAAAGAACAAAAGAAGGAAGAACAAAAGGAAGGAGUGGAAGGCCAUAUGAUGGAGAUUCCUAAUGUAACAGGACAACUCCGGACAGCUCUCCUGUAGUCCUACACUGAUGAAUAAAGAAGAAACGUGCCCCUCACAGAAUCCUGAAGAGGAGUCUGUGGAUGUACUCUGUCUUAUGGCAGUUUGUUCCAGGUUUUUGUCUCCUAAAGUGGGUGUGGUCUGACAUAUGAAGUUACCCAUAUCAGUACCAGCUGGAUCCUUCCUUCAGGGUGGAGGUGCCUUCCUCCUUAUCUGUAUAAAGAGCCUCC
rnacentral:lncRNA from 1 species